CGUGUACAAAACUCAAGUUUGCCAGAAAUUUCAAAUUUCAAGAAAUAUAACGUACCGUAAUAUUUGUUCCUAUAGUUGCGUCCGUUCCAGAUUAUCUCAUAUAAUAUGCGUACAGGAACGUCGAUGAUGUUGAUUUAAUUGGUAUAGCGUAAUGAUAUAACGUUUUCGAAUACAAAAAACGUACGAUGUUUUGGGGGCCGAUAAGCCGAUAAACGUGUUUUUUU